GCCCUACUCAAAGUUGGUGAUUGCACUGUGGCUGCAGUACCGUACCCCUCGCCAACUACUCGGGCAAAUACACAGAGGGGGAAGAAAUGCUUGAAGAAUUUACAAACUCAGCUCAGCUGAUGCAGCUAAAUGGGACUCAAAUUCCUGCUUCCCCGGCUCCGUGGUUGACAGAAUAGCCGACUGCAUGAGCUUGCAUUUGUCACCUGAGUCUUUUGGACUCAUCACGUCUCAUGUCUCUGGGUAAAUUAAAAUUAAAUGUGAUGAUU